rnacentral:rRNA from 1 species
AGUGAACGCUGGCGGUAGGCCUAACACAUGCAAGUCGAACGGCAGCACAGUAAGAGCUUGCUCUUACGGGUGGCGAGUGGCGGACGGGUGAGGAAUACAUCGGAAUCUACUUUUUCGUGGGGGAUAACGUAGGGAAACUUACGCUAAUACCGCAUACGACCUACGGGUGAAAGCAGGGGAUCUUCGGACCUUGCGCGAUUGAAUGAGCCGAUGUCGGAUUAGCUAGUUGGCGGGGUAAAGGCCCACCAAGGCGACGAUCCGUAGCUGGUCUGAGAGGAUGAUCAGCCACACUGGAACUGAGACACGGUCCAGACUCCUACGGGAGACAGCAGUGGGGAAUAUUGGACAAUGGGCGCAAGCCUGAUCCAGCCAUACCGCGUGGGUGAAGAAGGCCUUCGGGUUGUAAAGCCCUUUUGUUGGGAAAGAAAAGCAGCAGGUUAAUACCCCGCUGUUCUGACGGUACCCAAAGAAUAAGCACCGGCUAACUUCGUGC